rnacentral:rRNA from 1 species
GAUUAACGCUAGCGGCAGGCCUAAUACGUGCAAGUCGAGGGGCAGCGGGAGUAGCAAUACUUGCCGGCGACCGGCGCACGGGUGCGUAACGCGUAUGCAACUUACCCACAACAGGUGGAUAGCCCAGAGAAAUUUGGAUUAAUACACCGUAGUAUAUUGAUGUGGCAUCACAUUAAUAUUAAAGAUUUAUCGGUUGUGGAUGGGCAUGCGUCCCAUUAGCUAGUUGGCGAGGUAACGGCUCACCAAGGCGACGAUGGGUAGGGGAUCUGAGAGGAUUAACCCCCACACUGGUACUGAGACACGGACCAGACUCCUACGGGAGGCAGCAGUAAGGAAUAUUGGACAAUGGUGGCAACACUGAUCCAGCCAUGCCGCGUGCAGGAUGACGGCCCUAUGGGUUGUAAACUGCUUUUAUUCGGGAAUAAACCUCAGUGCGUGUACGGAGCUGAAGGUACCGAAUGAAUAAGCAUCGGCUAACUUCGUGCCAGCCGCCGCCGUAA